AUUGAACGCUGGCGGCAUGCUUUACACAUGCAAGUCGGACGAGUGGCGAACGGGUGAGUAAUAUAUUUGAACGUACCGCGUAAUGGGGGAUAACCUAUCGAACGAUUGGCUAAUACCGCAUUUUAUUCGAGCGGCCCAUAUCUGAUUAGCUCGUUGGUGGGGUAAAGGGCUACCACGGCGACGAUCAGUAGCGGGUCUGAGAGGAUGAUCCGCCACACUGGGACUGUGAAACGGCCCAGAGGCCUACGGGAGGCAGCAGUGGGGAAUUUUGGACAAUGGGAGCAAGCCGGAUCCAGCCAUGCCGCGUGUCUGAAGAAGGCCUUCGGGUUGUAAAGGUCUUUCAGCGGGGAGGCGUUACCCGCAGAAGAAGCACCGGCUAACUCCGUGCCAGCAGCCGCGGUAAUAC
rnacentral:rRNA from 1 species